rnacentral:hammerhead_ribozyme from 1 species
AUCCAGCUGACGAGUCCCAAAUAUGACGAAACACGCGUCCUGGAU